rnacentral:rRNA from 1 species
UACGGGGGGAGCAAGCGUUGUUCGGAUUUACUGGGCGUAAAGGGCGCGUAGGCGGCCACCGCAAGUCGACUGUGAAAUCUCCGGGCUUAACCCGGAAAGGUCAGCCGACACUGCGGGGCUAGAGUGCAGAAGGGGCAACUGGAAUUCUCGGUGUAGCGGUGAAAUGCGUAGAUAUCGAGAGGAACACCUGCGGCGAAGGCGGGUUGCUGGGCUGACACUGACGCUGAUGCGCGAAAGCUAGGGGAGCGAACGGG